rfam:Populus trichocarpa scaffold_12_contig_44, whole genome shotgun sequence.
CUUUUUAGGGACAAACGUCAAUAUCUUAGACGAGUCUCCUAAUUUUUAGGGACUGAUGUCAUUUUUAACGUGUCUCCUAUUUUUAGGGACC